GACGAACGCUGGCGGCGUGCUUAACACAUGCAAGUCGAGCGGUAAGGCCCUUUCGGGGGUACACGAGCGGCGAACGGGUGAGUAACACGUGGGUGACCUGCCCUCAGCUCUGGGAUAAGCCUGGGAAACUGGGUCUAAUACUGGAUAUGACUCCACGGUGCAUGUCGUGGGGUGGAAAGCCUUGUGCGGCUGAGGAUGGGCCCGCGGCCUAUCAGCUUGUUGGUGGGGUGANGGCCUACCAAGGCGACGACGGGUAGCCGGCCUGAGAGGGCAACCGGCCACACUGGGACUGAGACACGGCCCAGACUCCUACGGGAGGCAGCAGUGGGGAAUCUUGCGCAAUGGGCGAAAGCCUGACGCAGCGACGCCGCGUGAGGGAUGACGGCCU
rnacentral:rRNA from 1 species